CUCUCGANUGCAUNUAGAUUCCGUAGGUGACCUGCGGAAGGAUCAGUUGAGAUGUUUAUUUAAACACUUAGCUAGUGAGUAAAUGUUGGUUUGGACAUGGUAGCGGCUUUAACUCUAUUAUACACUUGAACUUUUUAAUUCAUGGACGAUCUUGACAUUCGUUAAUAUGUGCAAGAAAACCAAUAACAACAACAAUGGACAUCUUAGGUUCUCGCAUCGAUGACAGAACGCACGCGAAUUGCGAUACGUAAUGCGAAUUGCAUCCUCCGUGAAUCAUCAAAUCUUUGAAACGCAAAUGGCAGCCUCCAGUUGAUGAACUUGGGGCAUGUGUGUUUGAGUGUUGUUAGAACACCUUAUUUGUGUAUGCGUAAGAGUAUGCAGAGAAUAUGUUUUUAAGAGUUAAUCUUUUAAAUGAAAUCGACGGGGGUUGUAAUAUACAUACAACUCUCCAUGUAGAUCGUGAUUCACUUUCUUUUUGCACGGUUUGGUUUAUUCAAUCAAAUGUCUGCUACCUAGCGUAUGGCAAUUGAUUAAGUAUACUUAUACCCACCCUAAGAAACUCCACCCUCUACUUACUUUCCCAACCUCAAACACGCAAGAUUACCCGCCGAACUUAAGCAUAUCAAUAAGCGGAGGAAUCGGGAUCCCANGGCCCGUGGGCG
rnacentral:rRNA from 1 species